AGGCUAUGCUUUACCUGUCACUAUAGUGUCUGUCAGAAAGCCAUCUAACCAACUAUGAUUCUGCCCAAGGACCAUGGCAACUAGUCUCUUUAAUCCUAUAUGGAGAUCUUCCUUAAAGGCCUCUGUGUAGAAUUCCUGAUCAUGACUUCUAGUCAUAUCCUGUACACAAACACUCAUGGUAUGUUCUAUGACUUCCUUUUCAGCAAUACGUGCUGCUGGCCACGUCCAGGUACUCGAAGUGUCCAGCUGGAGUCCAUUAUUCUUUGCACCCUUCUGAAUACAAUCCCGAAGCAGAGCUGUUGGCUGAGACAUGCAGUCCAAGAUUAUCUUCACAACCCAGCACAUGUUCAAACAUGUGACAUGCUCAGCAAAUUCUCUCCUAAUUGCGCUUUCAUAGCCUUUGAAGACUACUGGGUCCUCCACCAGGUCAUCAAGGGUCCAAAUACUCAGGGUUUCAGGAUUGCCUAACAUGGCAGUCCGUAGCCGCUGGAGUGUUUUCAGUGAGACACAGGUAUCGGUGUGUGGCCUGAUCUUUAUAGGUACCAGGGAAAACUUAUAAUUUGUCAGGGAUUCAGCCAACAAUUCACAGUUCUCACAGUCACAUGAAUAUUCUAUCAGAUCCUUCAAUCUAGCAGCCACUGUUGCAAACAUUUCAUCCACUGUAAAAGCUGGUGAGGCUGGGAAGUUAUGAAAAAAUAAGAGCUGGCACACAAAGAAGGCAGCACUUAGCACCUCAUUACAGUUUUCAUUUUCAGGCCAUUUAUGAACAGAAGGCAACUUCUUGAACAGAGUGAGAAGGGCAGGCACAUAACAAAAUUCCCUGGAAUCAUAGAUUUUUUUAGCAUCUGCCACGACCUGAGAUAUAUCAGUACAAUUUGAAAGAUUCUUAAGUAUGUUCAUAAAUUUCUCAUACUGUUCCUUUUCUCUGUCAGAUGUGACCAUGAGAAUUGAAACCUGCUGGCAACCACCACCUUCACGGGUUUCAAGGUCCAUUUUUGAACACAUUAUCCCACAAUGUGCUGCAGUCUGCAAGAAAUAAUAGCCUCCCACUUUUAUGGAAAUCUGGUAGCUCCUCCUACAUGAGUCAUGAAAUGUCCCUUCAAAGGCUGAGGAGAGAGCACAACUCUUUUCAAUCUACACUCAAAAAUACAACUCCUGCACUACGAGGGAAUUUCUGCAGCGAUGGCCUCUGACUCGGAUUCCCCUUCAGCCGAUAAGGUAGGUAAACAUUUUAUAUAAAUUUGUAAACCACGCAGACAGAUCAGUAUUUCAUCAAAAACUAAAGUGUUGUUACUAGUCUGAAGUCUGUGGAGCAGAUGGUUUAAGUUAGACAAUUUUGCCCACACAACAGAUGUGCUAUAGCAGAGCAGGUUUGUGUCAGAUUCCACAAUCGCUUCUAACUCUUUUACAUGAUUUUUAAAAAGGGCAUUAAAUGCCACAAGGCUGUCCAGCAGAAACUGACUUUGGACACAAACACUGAACAGUUUAAAGACGCUUACCCAAUACACAAGGACAUUGAGUCCAGUAGAUAAAUCAAAGUCUGCAGCUGUUUCUAACUCUAGUGAAUACUUUAAGAAUGUUUUAAAGUUGUACAUAUAAGAAAAGUGUUUAUUGUCCAACAUAGAAGAUAUUUUUCUCAAGGCUUCCUCGUCUACAGAGGUCAGGAAACAUGCACACCAUUCAUGUACAGGCUGAUCUUUGUCAUAUGGGAUAGACAAAAUCUCUGGACUUUGACAGCCCAGUAAAUUGACAGUGCCUAUGGCCAAGUCUUGUAACAAGUUUGAAUCAUUUGCCUCAAGGGAUAGCUUCAUGUAGUCGAGUAUGCGCUGAAAUUUGGAGGUAGUGGACAACCUCUCCAAUAGUGUUAGGUGUCUGAUAAUUAGUUCCCUCAAGUGGGGCAACAAAAAUGGCUCUGUAUCCAAGUUGUGGCGCAGUGUCUGACAAAUUUUACACAGCACCUGAAGCUUACACAAACAGGCACUUACUCUAUUAUGUUCCCUAGUAUCUAUGACACAAAAGGUGUGGACCACGCUUUCCAGAGAAGGAUAAUAAAAUUCAUCCCCCAUGUUUUCUGUUCUUAUAGGACUGGCACGGAUCGAAGCAGGUCUACUUGAGCCAGUUGAUUGGAGUCUCUGCUGAAACAAAAGAGGAAUUUCAGCAACUGGUAGAUCUAUUUAUAUGCUUCCUACAGCACCCUGAAGAUGGUUUGAAUGCUCUGCAGUAUGUCAAGAAUUUGGAACUUGCUCUUCGGCGUCUGCAGUCAGACAGUCUCAAACAUGGGCCUUUGUCUGGGUUAAUAUUUGACCUGAACUUCUACAAUGUCUGGGUAAUGUUCAGAAACCAGAAGGUGAGGUUUAAUGCCAAAGUCCAUAACAGGCAUCCAUGUGGGUACAUAUCUCACCACCUGAUCAAAUAUGCCAUUGAAAGAGUUGUCUAUACCACAGACAGGCUGUUUCUGACUGCCCCAUGUUCGGGGGUACAGCUACCUCAACCUCUGGCCUGCAGUCUGUUCGAAAUACUCAAGGAUGUUAGAGGAAAAUGCACAACGGCCUGGAGGCGCUUAGGGGCAGGCCGCAGACAUUUAAUGACAUUUGGGCGCAAUGUGUUGGAUGAAUUUAAUUCUGAGAAGAAGUCACCUGGUGGCAUAUCCAGAGAAGUUGAGGCAUUUAUAAAGAUAUGCUUUCCACAAAUGGACUUAAAUAAAAUUUUAAUUCCAAUUUAUCAGCACGCCAUCAACAUCCCACCAGACUGUGUACCCAGCUGUACUAUUGGAGAUGGAAACAGAAAACGAGCCCCCCACGGUUCGCUAUACAGUAAAGACAUAUCCUCACAAAAGUUCUGCAUCCCAGACCCCCUGUUUGCUUCUCCCACAGAACCAGGGUUGGGGGAGUUGCAUAGGGGUAAUAUGGCACAUUUGCUGCAGAACCCAGAAGAAAUCAUUAACCUGGACCCUCUACACAAUACCACUGAACCCUGUUUGUAUCAAAUGUUUUCAGAGGCGGUGACAAACCCCUCUAAAAAAAGAUGGCUUUCUUCUUUCAACAUGGUCUUUUCAGGACUGUCUCCGAGAGCUCGGCCAGAGACCACUUAUGAACCAUUGGGGCCAUUUUCACCCAUUAGCCCUGGCCCUUCUUCCGCCACAGAAGAGUUCCAGUUUGAAUUUAGCCCUUCUCCUCAAACCUCCCCAGAAACAAGCGAGCAGAGCUACAUACCUACUCCCAACUCAGCUAUGGGCGGAUCCUUUGAGUACACAGGCGCCGUUCAACCACAACUAAUUCCAGAUAAUCACACCUGUUCCGCAAAGAGAUUAAGGGAGAGCGAUGAGGAGGUAAAUUAUUCUUCAGACGGUAGUCCAAACAAGAAACCCACAGCUCGCACUUCUGGGCACGAACAGGCUUAUGGUUUUCUGGCCGAGUUGCUCUCUAGCCACAGGGAUACGCCUGUCCAGCAUAUUGUGCAAUCUGGCUCAACGCCCGCCCCGCCAAUUGUUGAGCCUCAGGGACAAGAUUUUGUUGGAAAACAGGAUGAGACAUGUUCCAACGUGUUCCCAGAACAAAUUACUCAGGAAGCGUGUCCCGGAUCAUCUGAGGACGCGUUCAUCGAUGAUGCUAUAAAGGAAAUAUUUGCAUCGCUGGACUCUAUGGCAAACCAGGACACUGCUGACAGUGACACAUGUUCCAUACUUGACCCCCAAUCACCCACUCCCCCACCCUCCGUUCCCCCAAUAACUACACUCUCGUUGUAUGACAUUUAUGCCAGCAUACUUAGUCCACUCGACCCAAACAGCCUGGAGUCAUAAACGGUGCCAAAUACAAGACAUUUCUAAAUCCUUAAGUAUAAUGUUUAUAUUUAACUGAAUAAAAGAAGUGACGCUAUAAAACCCUCAA
rnacentral:tmRNA from 1 species